AUUGUGCCUUUGUAGUUAUGAUAACUGUAAUAUAGAGACACCACAACACAGUGACUAUAAUUAACAUUAACACAAUUAAAAGCAAAAUUCCUGAAUCACUUUGCACCUUGAAAAAUAAACACGUUUCUGUAUGGGUCAUUGUAGGCAAAGGUAAGACAAAAAAAAGCUACAUUAGGGUGGAUCACACCUCAAGGGAUGGAGGUCAAACCAUGUUCCCCCGUUUCCUCCGAAAGCCCAAAGACACGCAGUUAGGCUAAUUGCUAUCUCUAAAUUACAGUAUAAUUAUGUAUGUAUAUAUCUGCCCUGCAAUGCACUGCUGUCCUGACUGUACCCCAGUGUUGUGAACCCUAUGCUGCCUGAGAUGAGCUCAAGUAUCCCUCCCCCAUCCUGACCAGGAUAAAAAGGGCAACAGGGACGCCUCCCUUAUGGAAGCAGACAAGCACAUCUUCUCUCUCAUACUCAGCCAAGCGCUCUGCUUACACCUUCACAGGCAGAGGUCAAUGUGACAGUGAUAAGUUACAACAGGCAGAGCAGUGACAGCGAGGACAGGGGAUGGCAGCUUUCCCUCCUUCUCUCCCUGGCGUUCUCUCCUGCUGCUGCAGCGCAGCUCCCCCUGUACCGAGGACACGGAGGGAUAAGGAGGGUAAAGGAGGCGUGUG